rnacentral:rRNA from 1 species
GAUUAGUGGCGAACGGGUGAGUAACACGUGAGUAACCUGCCCUUGACUCUGGGAUAAGCCUGGGAAACUGGGUCUAAUACCGGAUAUGACUGUCUGACGCAUGUCAGGUGGUGGAAAGCUUUUGUGGUUUUGGAUGGACUCGCGGCCUAUCAGCUUGUUGGUGGGGUAAUGGCCUACCAAGGCGACGACGGGUAGCCGGCCUGAGAGGGUGACCGGCCACACUGGGACUGAGACACGGCCCAGACUCCUACGGGAGGCAGCAGUGGGGAAUAUUGCACAAUGGGCGCAAGCCUGAUGCAGCGACGCCGCGUGAGGGAUGACGGCCUUCGGGUUGUAAACCUCUUUCAGUAGGGAAGAAGCGAAAGUGACGGUACCUGCAGAAGAAGCGCCGGCUAACUACGUGCCAGCAGCCGCGGUAAUACGUAGGGCGCAAGCGUUAUCCGGAAUUAUUGGGCGUAAAGAGCUCGUAGGCGGUUUGUCGCGUCUGCUGUGAAAGACCGGGGCUCAACUCCGGUUCUGCAGUGGGUACGGGCAGACUAGAGUGAUGUAGGGGAGACUGGAAUUCCUGGUGUAGCGGUGAAAUGCGCAGAUAUCAGGAGGAACACCGAUGGCGAAGGCAGGUCUCUGGGCAUUAACUGACGCUGAGGAGCGAAAGCAUGGGGAGCGAACAGGAUUAGAUACCCUGGUAGUCCAUGCCGUAAACGUUGGGCACUAGGUGUGGGGGACAUUCCACGUUUUCCGCGCCGUAGCUAACGCAUUAAGUGCCCCGCCUGGGGAGUACGGCCGCAAGGCUAAAACUCAAAGGAAUUGACGGGGGCCCGCACAAGCGGCGGAGCAUGCGGAUUAAUUCGAUGCAACGCGAAGAACCUUACCAAGGCUUGACAUGAACCGGUAAUACCUGGAAACAGGUGCCCCGCUUGCGGUCGGUUUACAGGUGGUGCAUGGUUGUCGUCAGCUCGUGUCGUGAGAUGUUGGGUUAAGUCCCGCAACGAGCGCAACCCUCGUUCUAUGUUGCCAGCGCGUUAUGGCGGGGACUCAUAGGAGACUGCCGGGGUCAACUCGGAGGAAGGUGGGGACGACGUCAAAUCAUCAUGCCCCUUAUGUCUUGGGCUUCACGCAUGCUACAAUGGCCGGUACAAAGGGUUGCGAUACUGUGAGGUGGAGCUAAUCCCAAAAAGCCGGUCUCAGUUCGGAUUGGGGUCUGCAACUCGACCCCAUGAAGUCGGAGUCGCUAGUAAUCGCAGAUCAGCAACGCUGCGGUGAAUACGUUCCCGGGCCUUGUACACACCGCCCGUCAAGUCACGAAAGUU